CUGAAUUAUUCUAAAGGACAAAAAGACCCUAAAGAGCUCCGUUAAUUUUAACUACAAUAUUUAAUAUUCUCAUAUAUAACUUCUACUCUUAAAAUUAACUUAACUGGGGCGGUUAAGGAACAAUUUUAAUCUUCCAUCUAUUUUAUAAUAAGACCUACAACUCACUUAAUAAUUGACCCUAAUAAGAGCACAGAAAUAAGCUACCUUAGGGAUAACAGAUUAAUCCUCCUUAAGAGUACACAUUGACAGGAGGGAUUGACACCUCGAUGUUGGCUUAGGAACACUUGAGGGUAGCAGAAGCCCUCA
rnacentral:rRNA from 1 species